AAGAUCAUACUUCAUAAGAUUAUUUCUGUGAGAGUUGAUCUCAUUCUCCCUCCCUAAUAUAGAGACUGAUGUAAUCAUAAUAAUAAGAAGCAAUAAUCUUCUUCUUGAGCGUGAGAAUGACACGACUUCAGGAAUUACUCGUGAUCGAUGAUCGUUCAUUCUUCAUAUCUUUUAAUGCAUCGAUAAUAUGAGGAAGGAUUUUCUCAAUGGA